UACAGAGGGUGCAAGCGUUAAUCGGAAUUACUGGGCGUAAAGCGUGCGUAGACGGUUACAUAAGUCGGGUGUGAAAGCCCCGGGCUCAACCUGGGAAUUGCAUUCGAGACUGCGUAGCUAGGGUGCGGAAGAGGGAAGCGGAAUUUCCGGUGUAGCGGUGAAAUGCGUAGAUAGCGGAAGGAACACCAGUGGCGAAAGCGGCUUCCUGGUCCAGCACCGACGUUCAGGCACGAAAGCGUGGGGAGCAAACAGG
rnacentral:rRNA from 1 species